rnacentral:rRNA from 1 species
UGCAGUCGANGGUGCAGUAGUGAUACUGUAUAGUGGCAAACGGGUGCGUAACGCGUAAGCAACCUGCCCCAGACCGGGGGAUAGCCUGGCGAAAGCCGGGGUAAACCCGCAUAGUCCCCUUUGGCCGCCUGGCUUUGGGGGUAAACAUUGUAUGGGUUUGGGAGGGGCUUGCGUCUGAUUAGGUAGUUGGUGGGGUAGUGGCCCACCAAGCCGAUGAUCAGUAGGGGUUCUGAGAGGAUUGGCCCCCACAUGGGUACUGAGAGACGGACCCAACUCCUACGGGAGGCAGCAGUAGGGAAUAUUGGGCAAUGGGGGCAACCCUGACCCAGCCAUGCCGCGUGCAGGAUGAAGGCGCUCAGCGUCGUAAACUGCUUUUAUCUACGAAGAACUGUAUUCUUGCGGGGGUACCUGACGGUAGUAGGUGAAUAAGCACCGGCUAACUCCGUGCCAGCAGCCGCGGUAAUACGGAGGGUGCGAGCGUUGUCCGGAUUUAUUGGGUUUAAAGGGUGCGUAGGUGGGCGACUAAGUCUGGUUUGAAAGCCGGUGGCUCAACCAUCGGAUGUGGCUGGAAACUGGUGGUCUUGAAUGGGUUGGCGGCUGCCGGAACGGGUCAUGUAGCGGUGAAAUGCAUAGAUAUGACCCAGAACACCGAUUGCGAAGGCAGGCAGCUACGACCCGAUUGACACUGAGGCACGAGAGCCGGGGUAGCGAACAGGAUUAGAUACCCUGGUAGUCCCGGCCGUAAACGAUGAUUACUGGCUGUCUGUGUUUAAGCAUGGGUGGCUGAGCGAAAGCGUUAAGUAAUCCACCUGGGGAGUACGCUGGCAACAGUGAAACUCAAAGGAAUUGACGG